UCAAGAGUACGUGAAACCGCUUAGAGGCAAACGGGUGGAACCGCAGUGUCGACUCUUGGAAUUCAACCUGCCGUAGCACGGGACGAUGCUGGGAUAAUUGCGGAGCUUCCAAAGCCCGUUUCUCGGCGUCGGUCUCCGGUCGGUCUGGUGCACUUUCUUCGAGUCGAGAGCCACGACCGGCUCUUUGGCGGCCAUAAGCCUCGCUGGGAAGGUGACCUCCGGCCUCGGCUGGCGGAGUUUAUAGCCCAGCUUGCGUUGGCUCGUCGGAGGGCCGAGGAAAAAGCUUUGCCGCGACUCUUCGCUCUCGGACCAUCUGCGCUCGUCACGACUGGGGUGUACUGCUAGCCAGUGCUCUCCCGACCGCGAGCGUGGAAGGGUUCGUUCGGCGUGAGUUGCUUCGGGCCUGUGGCGAAUCGGUCGGUCACCCACCCGACCCGUCUUGAAACACGGACCAAA
rnacentral:rRNA from 1 species